AAGUCGAGCGAAUCAUGAGGUGCUUGCACCUCUUGGUUAGCGGCGGACGGGUGAGUAACACGUGGGCAACCUGCCUGUAAGACUGGGAUAACACCGGGAAACCGGUGCUAAUACCGGAUAAUCCUUUUCCUCUCAUGAGGAAAAGCUGAAAGUCGGUUUACGCUGACACUUACAGAUGGGCCCGCGGCGCAUUAGCUAGUUGGUGAGGUAACGGCUCACCAAGGCGACGAUGCGUAGCCGACCUGAGAGGGUGAUCGGCCACACUGGGACUGAGACACGGCCCAGACUCCUACGGGAGGCAGCAGUAGGGAAUCUUCCGCAAUGGACGAAAGUCUGACAGAGCACCGCCGCGUGAGCGAUGAAGGCCUUCGGGUCGAAAAGCUCUGUUGUUAGGGAAGAACAAGUACCGGAGUAGCUGC
rnacentral:rRNA from 1 species